CAAACAUGGGACGUCCACCACAACUUUUAUCUAAGCAUGUAAUUGAGGCACACCACCUUUUGGGACACACCGCUGGAGAUAAAGCUAAUUUAUUUGGAGUGUGCGAGAGAACAAUUCGUCGGAGGAUGGCACAGCAUGGGAUAAGAGUCUACAAUCUGUUUACUCCAAUGGAUGACAAUGAUCUGGAUGAAACUGUCACCCAAAUUCUGCAGCACCAUCCCAAUUGUGGAUAUAAAAUGAUGGUCGGGCACUUGAAUGCACAGGGUAUCCACAUACAGAGACAGCAUGUACAGGAAUCCAUGCACCGUGUGGAUCCUUAUGGAGUCUCAAUUUGCACCCUUCAGCUCAACUCACGAAGGCGCAGGAAGUACUUUGUACCAGCGCCAAACAGUUUAUGGCACUCACAAAUUGAUAAGGUAUCUGAAGAACCACAACAAUCUUGGCAAGCUUGCCAGUUCAUAACAAUGUUUCCUAAUAAAAUUGGGCAGUAUUCCAACAUGAUAACUACCCCAAACACGCCUCCAAGACGACCUCUGCCUUGCUAAAGAAGCUGAGGGUAAAGGUGACGGACUGGCCAAGCAUGUUUCCAGACCUAAACCCUAUUGAGCAUCUGUGGGGCAUCCUCAAACGGAAGGUGGAGGAGCGCAAGGUCUCUAACAUCCACCAAUUCCGUGAUGUCAUCAUGGAGGCGUGGAAGAGGACUCCAGUGGCAACCUGUGAAGCUCUGGUGAACUCCAUGCCCAAGAGGGUUAAGGCAGUGCUGGAAAAUAAUGGUGGCCACAUAAAAUAUUGACACUUUGGGCCCAAUUUGGACAUUUUAACUUAGACAUUAGACAUUAAUGGCUGUGUGUUGAGUUAUUUUGGGGGACCUGCAAAUUUACACUGUUA